rnacentral:rRNA from 1 species
UACAGAGGGGGCAAGCGUUAUUCGGAAUUAUUGGGCGUAAAGGGCGCGUAGGCGGCCUGGUAAGUGGGAGGUGAAAUCCCUCGGCUUAACCGAGGAACUGCCUCCCAAACUGCUUGGCUUGAGACCGGGAGAGGUGAGUGGAAUUCCCAGUGUAGCGGUGAAAUGCGUAGAUAUUGGGAGGAACACCAGUGGCGAAGGCGGCUCACUGGACCGGUACUGACGCUGAUGCGCGAAAGCGUGGGGAGCAAACGGG